GUGUGUGUGUAAGAAAAACUCCUAAAAGGAAAAUAUUAAAAGAAAAAAAUACAUAAAAACAAAUAUAAAAAAGCAUCAUCAACAUUUGAAAUUUUGUAAACACCCUUUAAUUUAAAUCUUUUCUUAUUAUUUAUUUGAUUUAUCCAUGCUAUGGAAAUGAACAUGUAAAUAAAGAAAUAAAAAAACCGUUGUACGUGUGUGUGAUUGAGUGUUUAACACGUACGUGUGAGUGAUUUUUCCUAUUGAAAAUUUCAUUGUAUGGUGCUGUUCUUGCCAACUUGCCCUUAGGGCCGAAAAAAUAUUUAUGAAGUUCACCAAUAACCUGAUCAAAGUCAACAUUAAUUACUUCAAUUAACUAAUGAAUUGAAAGUCCAAAGACGUUUUCAAUGGCUAUAAUAAACAAAUUAAAGAUACAAACUUACAUCAGAGAUACAUUAAUCGAAAUGUAUUCAAAUGAAAUUAAUGAAUUUCAAUACCAACAAAACCCAAACACAUCUGUCAACAAUUAAAAUUUAUGGAAGAACGAAAAAAAAAAUCAAAAAAAGCGAAAAAGUAA